UACGUAGGGUGCAAGCGUUGUCCGGAAUUAUUGGGCGUAAAGAGCUCGUAGGCGGUUUGUUGCGUCGGCUGUGAAAUCCCGAGGCUCAACCUCGGGUCUGCAGUCGAUACGAGCAAACUAGAGUGUUGCAGGGGAGACUGGAAUUCCUGGUGUAGCGGUGAAAUGCGCAGAUAUCAGGAGGAACACCGGUGGCGAAGGCGGGUCUCUGGGCCUGUACUGACGCUGAGGAACGAAAGCGUGGGGAGCGAACAGG
rnacentral:rRNA from 1 species